GAUGAAGAACGCAGCGAAAUGCGAUAAGUAAUGUGAAUUGCAGAAUUCAGUGAAUCAUCGAAUCUUUGAACGCACAUUGCGCCCCUUGGUAUUCCAUGGGGCAUGCCUGUUCGAGCGUCAUUUGUACCUUCAAGCUCUGCUUGGUGUUGGGUGUUUUGUCUCGCCUCUGCGUGUAGACUCGCCUUAAAACAAUUGGCAGCCGGCGUAUUGAUUUCGGAGCGCAGUACAUCUCGCGCUUUGCACUCAUAACGGCGACGUCCAAAAGUACAUUUUUACACUCUUGACCUCGGAUCAGGUAGGGAUACCCGCUGAACUUAAGCAUAUCAAUAAGCGGAGGA
rnacentral:misc_RNA from 1 species